rnacentral:rRNA from 1 species
GACGAACCGUGCGAACGUUGUUCGGAAUCACUGGGCUUAAAGGGCGCGUAGGCGGGCGGGCAAGUCGGAGGUGAAAGCCCCCAGCUCAACUGGGGAAGUGCCCCCGAUACUGCCGGCCUGGAGGGGGGUAGGGGCGGUGCGGAACUUCCCGGUGGAGCGGGUGAAAUGCGUAGAUAUCGGAAGGAACACCGGUGGCGAAGGCGGCACGCUGGGCCCGCCCUGACGCUGAGGCGCGAAAGCCAGGGGAG